GGCCAGACUCCUACGGGAGGCAGCAGUGGGGAAUAUUGGGCAAUGGGCGCAAGCCUGACCCAGCAACGCCGCGUGAAGGAAGAAGGCCCUCGGGUUGUAAACUUCUUUUAUUCGGGACGAAACAAAUGACGGUACCGAAUGAAUAAGCCACGGCUAACUACGUGCCAGCAGCCGCGGUAAUACGUAGGUGGCAAGCGUUAUCCGGAUUUACUGGGUGUAAAGGGAGCGUAGACGGAAAGGCAAGUCAGAAGUGAAAGCCCAAGGCUCAACCAUGGGACUGCUUUUGAAACUGUCAAACUAGAGUACGGGAGAGGUAAGAGGAAUUCCUAGUGUAGCGGUGAAAUGCGUAGAUAUUAGGAGGAACACCAGUGGCGAAGGCGGCCUGCUGGACGAUGACUGACGUUGAGACUCGAAAGCGUGGGGAGCAAACAGGAUUAGAUACCCUGGUA
rnacentral:rRNA from 1 species